rnacentral:lncRNA from 1 species
CACAGGCACACUCACGGCAACAGUGCAGCUUCCGACCUCAUGCAUGCUAAGGAGGGAGCAGAGAGCUGCAGCCCCAUUGUGCUGUCGCCGGCAGCCUGAUGCACAGUGUAAGGGAGCUCCCAGAAAGUCUCCCAUCCUCCCAGCUAUUUGCAAUCCUAAUCCCUGAAUAGAGCCUGAGACCACUUGGCAAACUCAGAAACAGGGCAAGAUGUGUAAACACAGGUACAAGUGCAUGCAUUCAGCAUCAAUGCUCCCUGGCCAGCAGCAGGUUAGUGAAGAGGACUCAGCAGUUCCAUCCUUGGGACAAGUUCCCUCACAAAGAUUUGUGGAAUUCAGGCCCCCACAUGCUUGAUGAUGCAGCACAGCUCCUGGAUGCAGAGGGUCAGCGAGAGAAACUCCUACUUCCCCCAAAGCCCCCCAGAACAUGAAAGCCUGACUCCACAUUGUUUAUGGACUCAAUUUAUAUAAACUUGCACCUCAGAGACACUCU